UUCUCCAGCCAAAGGAACUCCUCACUUCAGUAAAUUUCAAAUUGUAAAUUGAAGGAAAAUGAAAAACAAGAUCUUCAAACCAAAAGAACGAAACCCGGUGAUGGGUAGUGAUUAGCAGCUGCGAUGCUAAAUUCCCAACUGCAUAUCCUACUAGUCAGUAGUCACCCCAUUUUCUCUCUAACUCAGAAACGCUCACACAGAAAGUCUCCCUUUCUCUCUCUACAAUUAAUCAUCUGCAUUAUAUUCUGAAAAUUUGGUAGAUUUACUGUAAAAAAGGCUAACAAAGAAUGAGCAGAUAAAAGUGAGAAAAAAUUUUGAUGUAAG
rnacentral:misc_RNA from 1 species